AUUCCAGCUCCAAUAGCAUAUAUUAAAGUUGUUGCAGUUAAAAAGCUCGUAGUUGGAUUUCUGGCAUGAUGCGCCUGGCCCGCCUCAAUUAUGAGUGUGUGUGUCAGCGCGCGUCUGCCAUCCAUUUGCAGAAUGUAUCUACCCUUCAUUGGGCCGGAUACGUGAUGUAAAUCUUUUACUUUGAAAAAAUUAGAGUGUUUAAAGCAGGCAUUUGCUAUGAAUACAUUAGCAUGGAAUAAUAAUCUAGGACUUCGGUUCUAUUUUGUUGGUUUCUAGAUCUGAAGUAAUGAUUGAUAGGGAUAGUUGGGGGUGCUAGUAUUAAGGGGCCAGAGGUGAAAUUCUUGGAUUCUCUUAAGACUAACUUAUGCGAAAGCAUUCACCAAGGAUGUCUUCAUCA
rnacentral:rRNA from 1 species